rnacentral:rRNA from 1 species
UACAGAGGGGGCAAGCGUUGUUCGGAAUUACUGGGCGUAAAGGGCGCGUAGGUGGCCUUCUAAGUCGAACGUGAAAUCCCUGGGCUCAACCCAGGAACUGCGUCCGAUACUGGAAGGCUUGAAUCCGGGAGAGGGAUGCGGAAUUCCAGGUGUAGCGGUGAAAUGCGUAGAUAUCUGGAGGAACACCGGUGGCGAAGGCGGAUCUCUGGGCCGAUACUGACGCUGAGGAGCGAAAGCGUGGGGAGCGAACAGG